rnacentral:rRNA from 1 species
UACGGAGGGAGCUAGCGUUGUUCGGAAUUACUGGGCGUAAAGCGCGCGUAGGCGGCUUCUCAAGUCAGGGGUGAAAUCCUUGGGCUCAACCCAAGAAUUGCCUUUGAAACUGUGGAGCUAGAGUGUCGGAGGGGAUAGCGGAAUUGCUAAUGUAGAGGUGAAAUUCGUAGAUAUUAGCAGGAACACCGGUGGCGAAGGCGGCUAUCUGGACGACAACUGACGCUGAGGCGCGAAAGCGUGGGGAUCAAACAGG